UACGGAGGGUGCAAGCGUUGUUCGGAAUCACUGGGCGUAAAGGGCGUGUAGGCGGUCCGCUAAGUCUGAUGUGAAAGCCCGGGGCUCACCCCCGGAAGGGCAUUGGAAACUGGCGGACUCGAGUCUCGGAGAGGAAGGUGGAAUUCCUGGUGUAGCGGUGAAAUGCGUAGAUAUCGGAAGGAACAUCAGUGGCGAAAGCGACUUCCUGGACCAAUACUGACGCUCAUGUGCGAAAGCGUGGGGAGCAAACAGG
rnacentral:rRNA from 1 species